rnacentral:rRNA from 1 species
GACGAACGCUGGCGGCGUGCCUAAUACAUGCAAGUUGAGCGCUCAAGGUUGGUACUUGUACCAAUUGGAUUAGCGGCGAACGGGUGAGUAACGCGUGGGUAAUCUGCCUUUAAGCGGGGGACAACAUCUGGAAACGAAUGCUAAUACCGCAUAAAAUCUUUAAACACAAGUUUCAAGAGUGAAAGAUGCAAUUGCAUCACUCAAUGAUGAUCACGCGUUGUAUUAGCUAGUUUGUGAGGUAAAGGCUCUCCCAAGCGAUGAUACAUAGCCGACCUGAGAGGGUUAAUCGGCCAAUUGGGAACGGAUAAACGGCCCAACCUCCAACGGGAGCAACAGUAGGGAAUCUUUGGCAAUGGACGAAAGGCUUAACGAGGAAAGCCGGGGGAGGUAAUGAGGGUUUCGGAUCGUAAAACUCUGUUGAUAGAGAAGAAAGAUAGUGGGAGUUGAAAGCGCAUCAAGUGACGGUAACUAACCAGAAAGGGACGGCUAACUACGUG